rnacentral:lncRNA from 1 species
CUGCUCACCAUGGCCUUGGCCUGCGUGCGUGAGGAAGAGGGAGAGGAAGGAAAUCAAAUUGCAGUAAUAAGGUAAAAAGGGAAGAUGAGAAGGCCAUGGAAGAGGAGGAGGAGGUGGAGGAGAGGGAUCCGGUGCUGCACCUGCUUCCGCCUGCGGCUCGGUGGCCAUGCUAGCUAGGGUUUCCGACCUCCAUGUCACCGUGGAUCUGGGGGCUGCCUCACCUUCUCGCUCGAUCUGUGGAUGGGAGACAAGGUGAGGGGCGCGGGAGAGGGUGGAGCGGCGGCGUCGGGGGUAGAGGGAGACGAGGCCGGCGGCGGCGGGGUUGGGGCAGAGGAGAGGAGGAUUGGGGAAUUCGUUGGGUCUUGGGUGGGGGAGGAGGAAGACUGGAGUGUGUGCGCGGGUGUUGGGUGGAUUUUUUUAGCGUGGGUGAUAGUAGCGCGUUUUGCAAACCAGGCGCUACAGUUAUGUCUUUAGC